rnacentral:rRNA from 1 species
UACGGAGGGUGGCAAACGUUGCUCUGGAAUCAUUGGGCGUAAAGCGCACGUAGGCGGCUCGUUAAGUCGGAUGUGAAAGCCCUCGGCUCAACCGAGGAAGUGCAUUACGAAACUGGCGAGCUUGAAUAUGGAAGAGGGUCGCGGAAUUCCCGGAUGUAGAGGUGAAAUUGUAGAUAUCGGGAGGAACACCAGUGGCGAAGGCG